GGGCGGGGCGCGCCCACAGGUGACGCCGAGGGUGGGGCCGGCUGCGCGCAGGCAUCUUGGAGCAGGUAACGCGAUACCGGCUGGCGGCAGCGUCGUGAGGUGUGGCGUGCUGCGUCCUUCACCCACGAAUCUUCCAAGAAGACAGAGGUGCUGUAAGGAAAUCACAGCUCCCACCUUCCCUUACCACCACGUUCUUCACGGUCUGAUGGUGGUGCUUCCUGACAAACUAACCAUAAGCCCACGAAGGCAGAGACAGUUGGUCUGGUUCUCUGCUUUAUUCUAAGUACCGAAGAGGUGGCAGGCUUAAAUACUUUUUAUUUUUUAAAAGUAACUAAACUUCUAGUACUUUGUGAGACCAGAAAGCCAAGAGCACCCUGGACUCACCAGUCGGCUAGACACACGGUUCAUCAUGAUCCUCUCGGGAAGGUCCAUGGUGUUGGCAAUGGUCAGCACUAUCAAGUGGGCCCCUUUGUGAGUAGGCCAAUCAAAGAGGUUGUACAUUACAUCUUGUUUGUGAGUCCAAAGAAGGUCAAGCUGCCAAAGACAAUAUACAUACAAUGUCACUCAGAGACCAAGCCAGAGCACAUAAAGUGAUAGCCUGCACUACAGAGUGAGUGCACGCCCUGUCCACAUGGCACUUUCUAGUCCGUAAGAGAAUCAAUGGACAGGCUUCAGUUGAUACAGAAGGAGCCAGCACUUUUGCCUACACACUGUCUGCUUCUGGGAGAGUGAGUCUGUGCAGCCACUCCUCCUCUUGUACUCCUGGGGCACCUCACAGUGGGGCAAGUAGACAAUGCCACCAGACAGAAGGACUGGGUAAGGCCAAACAGGCUCAGACUCCAGGGAAUCUCAGAAUUGAGAACAGCAGGAGUGGAGCCAGCUCCCUGCCAAGCGCUAGCUGUUCUGGAGCAGGUAAGACACCCCAUUGAGAGGACCAUAGCAAUCAGUGACAUAGCAUAAAGCCCUGGAGUUCUGAGGUUUUUAGCUAGGCCCCAACAGUUCAGCUGAUGGGAUCCCCUUCCUGGGCACCUCUUCCCGAGAAAGGUAUUUAAUGCCUGGUUCACCCUGAGUAAGGAUGUAUGCAUUUACAUCCACCAUCAAAUAAAACCGUUUGGACAAGCAAAGACCACCUCUUCAUCAAGGAUUGCCACAGCAAAGACCUCUGCUUUAACACUCACUCGGAACCAAACCAGGUUCCACCACAGUCCUGGGCUCAGACACCCUGAGGGGAAGCUCAAGCCCCGUUCCCAACUCCCAGUGGUACCCAGCAGCAUCUGGUACACAGGAGGCUGAGAACCACGGCAAUUGUCCCAGACUCCAAUUUCCCACUCAAGAAAACAUGGACUGAGGAACCCCAUUAUGUACUGCGUCCUGCCCCCCUGAGCUGCUUGCCGGCUCCCCAACAUGGCUUGGGCAUCCCGGCAGUGAGGCAGACGAGUACCCCGGAACCUCACCUCAUCCACGAGCAGUACAGUGGUUUCCUUCUGGGACCCUUGGCCACAGAAUUGCUUCGCCAGCAGUUCUGCUGCAUGAUUGGCUGUUGCCUUCUGGCCUGUCAGUUUCUGCACAAGGGAAAAGCAACUGCUGUAGUAAAGAGUAAUGAGUCUACAAGAAGAAGCUACUCAUUUCCUAUACCCUGCCUCUAACUCUAGUCCCUUUACCUAGCGGGAUAUUAUCUGUUCAAAGGUUACCAGUGAAUGAAAGAACAAGGCUUACAUUCAAAUCCAAGACACUCUCCACGCCAUCUGUGAGCUAGGGGCUCCUUCCAUGUUGGCAUGUAAUCACUAACCUCUAAAAAGUCUGCCUGCCUCACCUUUGCCACCUCUGGAUAAAUUUGUGAAGUGCACAUAAAAUUAAGUAAUUCUUUCCUUUUC